UUCGGGAACUGUGAGACAGGUGCUGCAUGGCUGUCGUCAGCUCGUGUUGUGAAAUGUUGGGUUAAGUCCCGCAACGAGCGCAACCCUUAUCCUUUGUUGCCAGCGAUUAGGUCGGGAACUCAAAGGAGACUGCCAGUGAUAAACUGGAGGAAGGUGGGGAUGACGUCAAGUCAUCAUGGCCCUUACGACCAGGGCUACACACGUGCUACAAUGGCGCAUACAAAGAGAAGCGACCUCGCGAGAGCAAGCGGACCUCAUAAAGUGCGUCGUAGUCCGGAUUGGAGUCUGCAACUCGACUCCAUGAAGUCGGAAUCGCUAGUAAUCGUGGAUCAGAAUGCCACGGUGAAUACGUUCCCGGGCCUUGUACACACCGCCCGUCACACCAUGGGAGUGGGUUGCAAAAGAAGUAGGUAGCUUAACCUUCGGGAGGGCGCUUACCACUUUGUGAUUCAUGACUGGGGUGAAGUCGUAACAAGGUAACCGUAGGGGAACCUGC
rnacentral:rRNA from 1 species